rnacentral:lncRNA from 1 species
ACACUUACGAUCGUAGUCAGCUGUCGCCGGUCUCGUCGGUCGCUCGGGCCUCCCUCUACGACAUGCAGCGGUUCGAGCGGGACCCGUACGCGGACAGGGCGCGGUACUCUGCGUUUUGAGUCGGAGGUCGCGUGCGCCGGGGCGGAAGCGUUCGGCCGG